rnacentral:rRNA from 1 species
AUGCCUCUGCAACUCUGGUCCAUGAAGGGGGCAGAGAAGGUGCUUGACAAGAUGUGCAUCAUCGACCGCCUUGACUCUAGGACGCUCGAGCGCGGGCACACGAAGACCUUCGCAUGUUGGGUGUGGGUGUGGGAUUUCGCGCUCAUCCCCACCGCGCGCACGCUCUAGAGGACGGCCCGGGGCGCCGGGCGCAUCGAGGCCAUGCAAGGCUACUCGCCGCCGAGCAGGGAAGUCGCCCCUCCUUCGUGUGUCAAGUGACACGAUCUGCUCAUCCACGUCGACCUGAGGGAAGACUGGUCACCGAUGUCGCCGCGUUCGUCCCACUCCGCGUAG